AUUGAACGCUGGCGGCAUGCCUUACACAUGCAAGUCGAACGGUAACAGGUUAAGCUGACGAGUGGCGAACGGGUGAGUAAUGUAUCGGAACGUGCCCAGUCGUGGGGGAUAACUGCUCGAAAGAGCAGCUAAUACCGCAUACGACCUGAGGGUGAAAGCGGGGGAUCGCAAGACCUCGCGCGAUUGGAGCGGCCGAUAUCAGAUUAGGUAGUUGGUGAGGUAAAGGCGCACCAAGCCGACGAUCUGUAGCUGGUCUGAGAGGACGACCAGCCACACUGGGACUGAGACACGGCCCAGACUCCUACGGGAGGCAGCAGUGGGGAAUUUUGGACAAUGGGCGCAAGCCUGAUCCAGCCAUGCCGCGUGCGGGAAGAAGGCCUUCGGGUUGUAAACCGCUUUUGUCAGGGAAGAAAAGGUUCUGGCUAAUACCUGGGACUCAUGACGGUACCUGAAGAAUAAGCACCGGCUAACUACGUG
rnacentral:rRNA from 1 species